rnacentral:rRNA from 1 species
UACGUAGGGGGCAAGCGUUGUCCGGAAUCAUUGGGCGUAAAGCGCGCGUAGGCGGCCAGAUUAGUCCGGUGUGAAAGUCAGAGGCUCAACCUUUGAAUGCCGCUGGAAACUGUCUGGCUUGAGUCCGGAAGGGGCGAGUGGAAUUCCUGGUGUAGCGGUGAAAUGCGCAGAUAUCAGGAAGAACACCCGUGGCGAAGGCAGCUCGCUGGAACGGUACUGACGCUGAGGAGCGAAAGCGUGGGGAGCGAACAGG